UAUACCGAUCUUCUAGACACAACAGUUUAGAGUAUCUGUUAAAAAUGAAAGAUGUAUUAGUUUUUCUAACUUUUAUAUUAAUACCGGGAAUUAUUAUUUUAUACUUCAAAGUUAAAUGUUACAACUAUUUACGGGGACUUUGGACUAUGUUUAUUUUCAUGGUCGCUUGUUUGCUGGCUGUUUUGUUCAUACUGUUUAAUAGUCUAAUGCUGUGAUGUUUCUUCAGCCAUGCAGUUAGUUCAGCAGUGUUAUAGAUUUCAACAAGAUCGUGACAAUGAAUCCGACGGACCGAAUUACCACUGCAAGUCAUCAGCUUCUCCAAACUCCAACAGAUGGUUUAGCAUGGUGAUACACAGCUUAAGAUACAUUCGAGAACAGCCAAUGGUGUUGAUUUCCAAAUUGGUCUUGGUAUUGAGUCAGACCAAAUCUGAUUCAUGAUAUAUUACAUUUAAUUCUACAGUUGAUAUGAUAAGAUUUCUAGCAGGAAAUAUUAUUGCAUUUGCUGUAUUGUCAUGCAGUGUUUGAAAAUAAUUGUAUUAUCAAAUUCCGUAAUGAAAGAAAUGUUUUACAUUUAUUUAUUAUUUUAUAUGUGUUUAUUUUCUAUUAAAAUGAUUCAAAGAACUAUUAAUGCCAAGCUCUGAUUGAUUUCAACAAUGUCCAAGAGGUACUUAACAUUAACAUAUAUAUAUAUAUCUAAUCUAUUAGUAUUUAUCAUCAUGUACAGAAUAUGGUGAAAUAACUUUUUUAUAAACGAGUAAAACAUGCGGCAUUACUUUCAACUUUUGAUAAGCAGUAACUUUAUUUUGUUGCAAUAGCAAUAUCAAAACAUUUGUAGAGGUUAUAUCUUUACUACACUUUCAAUUAUAAACAAUGUACAUUGUUGAACACCUUUUUCAAACAUAUUUUACAUAGUCUCCUCUAUGCACAAUACAAACAGGAAAUACUUGUUUUGUCAGUUCACUAAUAUCAAAAAGUUCCACAAUUCGUUAUCAAUGUAUAGGUCCAUAUAUACAAAUUUGUCUUAUAUUUUUUUCUCAUAUCACUAUUACGCGACAAAAAUAGCUCUUUGUUUGAAUAUGUUCAAAGAUCGUUUACCAUCUACAAUUUUUAGGCAUGGUUAGAGUGCCUAUAAUUUAUUAAGCUUCCAAUCUAUAUGGAAAAAUAAACAUAAAUUAAACUAUAUAAACACAUUUUUAGGUUGUUCGUGUAUAGAAAACAGAUGUGAAUUAUUACGUCGGGGUACAUUGAACAAUUGAGUGAAGCAUAUUGUAGAGAUGGUACCUAAAAGAUUUAAAUUAAUCUUUACAGAUUUUUUUCAGAGUGAAAUGAUAGCUAAGUGCACCGAUUUAUCAAAUAUAUAUAUGGUUUUCUGAAGCAAAAUGGACAACCCUUGCAUUGACCGCUUUUCGAUGAUUUUAGGAUUUCCCCGACUAUAGUCUAUAUCAAGUCUCCACAGCUAGAUAAAUUCAGCAAAGUGUAAGUUUAGUCAACUUUCAACACUUUGAGAGAGCCUAUACUGAACUUCCUUUUGUUUUUAAAUAAAUUAUUCAAAAUUUAAGACUAGUCAAGAGUCUAAUACUCUUGAAAAACUCUUGAGAGAAUGACAAUCAUGCUCUUAAUAAUAAGCUUACCAAAACUAUACCAAAAAUUUACCUGAAAGAAGUUAUUAAAGAUUUUAUAUUGUAAACAAAUCCAUACUUCAUUUUACCAUCAAUGUUUCCAAUUUAUGAAUGCACUCAGUUCAUGUGAUAAGUGUUGAUACAACUGUAAAUGAGAGGCUAGAACAAAUAUCUUUUUUUCAAGUUGUGUUAACAGUUUAACUUGUAAAUUAAUGCGAAUAUCUGAAGUUACCCGCUUAUUUUGUUUACAACAAUAAAUAAAAUACCUUAUGGUUUGUUUAAGGUAGUUGACUUGUAACGAAAAUCAUCAAAUAAAGUAAUUUCCAUAUUCUUUA